rnacentral:misc_RNA from 1 species
AACGCACCUUGCGCUCCUUGGUAUUCCGAGGAGCAUGCCUGUUUGAGUGUCAUGAAGUUCUCAACUGCUUUGACUUUAUUGUUGAAGUGAAGUUGGAUUUGGAGGAUCUUUGCUGGCGUGAGCUUGAGUGUACAUUGUAUGCAUGCUUGCUUGUCGGCUCCUCUCAAAAGUAUGAAACCUUUCCAGUAGAUCUUGGCGAAAAGAGUAUCUUCGACGUGAUAACUAUCUGCGUCGUUGAGAAAGCUUAAGAGCAGGGCCCCUUCAAAGGCUCCUACAGGAAAAGGUUCACGCAAUAUGUCUUCUUCUCAGGAGACUGCUGCCUUGACCAAUUCGACCUCAAAUCAGGUAGGACUACCCGCUGAACUUAA